GAGCAGUUUGGCAUAUGUUCUGAAUCUAAGGUUGAUUAUUAUUCCUUUAGCACUAGUACUGCUCUGAGAUCUG
ensembl:snoRNA